GAGGGGUUUCCUCAACUCACUUUUGCACGGCGAUGCUGGAAGAGAGGCGCUUAUGCCGGGCUCCUGGGGGGCGGGGGGUGUCUCUCACGGAAGGACGGUGAGAGCGUCUCCCAGGGUCUGGGGGAGCGCUUGGAUGUGGAGCGUUGCUUAAAUGAGGUGCCGAGGGAUGAACCUUUGUGCCGGGGAGUAGCAGAGGGAUAGGAUGUAAACCAGACACAAAUGGAGGAGGCCAGAGGAGCACAGCAAUGAGGUGGGUUGGCACCUGAAGCCCAAGCUCCAGCCUGACUUUCUUCAAUGCUUACCCCGUUGUUUGGCUCUUUGUUUCAUUAGAAGAUGCGAAGCGCUUGGUACGGCCAGGUGGUCUGAAGCAUUCCAACCGCUGGUCCAAUAUGACAGAGGCCCUUGCGGAAAGAGGUCACGGUCAAGCGGUUUCAGAUGGAAACUAAUCCGGCAAUGCCA